CACGCCGCCGGGUUCGCCCAGUACACCCAUCUCCACCACACCGGGAUCAUCUGCAUCCAGAGUUCUUGUUCAUCAGGUGAAUGGGGAUGUCCAAUAUCCCCAGCGCAACCAUGGUUGGAGGGAAUCUGGACAAGUAUUACAAACUGGUGAGUAUCAUUGCUGCACAUAAGUCUUAAGUUGUUUCCUGUACUACAGAGUUGCCAUACUUCCAAAGUUAGUCUGAACAAAAUCAUCUAACCUUUUGAUAUGACAAAACCUCCAAGUAUGUAGAUUGCUAUAAGAGCUGCAGUCCCCAGCAUGUUAGCCAUUACUUGUGUCCUUCCUAUGGCUGCCAAGAAGCGAUACAGAGCCAUUGACAUUUGAUGCAUGGCAAAAAGCACCACGAACUGCUGGAUAAAUCUGUCAGAAGCAAGAGAAAAUUCUUUCCAUUACUUCGAUCUAUUCAAGUAAGACAAUCCUUAUACUUAUUGUUUAAAUACAGAACUUGUGUGGAGGAGGUACCUGACAGGGGAAGGUGCGUAGCCGAUCACAUAGUACGUUAAGCUGGUCCAUAGACCUGUCUCUACAAGUGACAUUGGCAGACUAAUGAGGAAUACUGAAGAAAGGAGUGCCCAUCCUGGCAAUGCUAGUACUUCUCUUUGCUUGUAAAAUAUUGGGAGCCGCUUUAUUGUCAUCGCAAUUUCAGUCAUACCAUUGAAGUUUACUAUCACAACAGCCAUAAAGAGUGCUCCCAUGUACUUAUUGCCAUCAAGUACAGUAUCGUGACUCAUGUUUGUCCGAAGAAAAAGAGUUGAAAUCACUAAAGCGAGAACAGUUAUCUGUAUGGUCUUGAAUAAAUGCACUGGAGAGUUUCUUUUUAAAAGCAGCACUUCCCUUGAAAAGCAUGCCUUGAAAAUAUUCCACCUGGAGAUCCUGCGACUUGUGCUUGUUUUUACCUCCUUGCUCCUUCCAGCAUUUGUUGACUUCAACUGAUCAUUUUCGACGAGUCGAGGGAGAUACGAGGAGUAAUUGAUAACGGAGUACCUCUUGAAGGAAAUCUGCUACAUUCUUCCUGUUGGGGCAUUUGAAUCCCAUAGUUUGAAAGAAAUCUGUUGCAUUUUCUCGAGGACCAUGAUAUACAAUCUGGCCCUCACAUAAAAGGAUUAUGUCAUCAAAUAACUCCAAUGUCUCAGGUGGUGGUUGUAGCAAUGAAAUAACCAUUGUGAGAUCCAUCAAAUGAGCCAUUUGUUGCAGAAACUUCAUGAUCUCAAAUGUGGUGGAGCUAUCUAGACCAGUUGAUAUAUCAUCCAUAAAGAAGCAUCUUGCAAGACCAACUAGCAUCUCGCCUGCAUCAAGGAAGUACAGCUUAGUUCCCCAGUUGUCUUCCCUGAACCUGGUGCUCCAAGAAGAAGUGUCAUCCUGAUUGCAGAACGGGUUGCAAGAUUUCAUUAGCUCAGGUAAUCUGGGAUUAUUUUGGCUGUGUUAGGCUCGUGAUGUUCAGGCUCGCAUGCACACACGUGUUGCGAGCUUUCGUGGGAUAUGCUGGACACGUUGGCCAGUGCUGUACUUUCUGAAAACGGAAGAAAAUUGACCUGCCAAACCGCCAGAAGGAUCACAUAAAUGAUCAACUGCUGAUCCGCUGAUAAGGAGGUGGUGUGAAAUGCAUGUAAGGAGAAGAAUAAGCAGCUGAACAGGAUCAGCUGCUGAUAAGGAGGUGGUCUUUAUGCAUGCGGAGAAAAGAAUAAGCAGAGCAGCUGAACAGGCCUGAAGUCAAAGCUUGCCAUGCUUGCCAGAAUGUCCACAGAUAUGAUCAAAGAUGUGACAGUACUAAAAACUUUUAUGCCUCCAAGUAUCUAGGACAUCUGGUCUGUUCUCUGUAUUUUGGGUGUUUGCCAACACUCACAACACCACAGCGAGAACUUGGUACGAUUGCAAACAGGAAAGAGUCUCCAACAGUUCUGGUUACUAGGGAAAGGAACAAGCAGCAGCCCGGGGCAACGGAGAACGGACAAGCUUACAAUUAAUGCAGAUACCAUCGUCGUCCCCGCCGCUGCCGUCAUCGACGCCACUGUUCAGGCUGCUGGAGCUGUAGCUCGAGGAAAUGCCAGGUUGGAUCUGUGGUACUGCUACCUCUGAAUUUAUUACCGUGCAUUGACCUGUGUAGCGCAGUGCCUGCUGGCUUAAAUACUGGGAAUAUCAUCAGGUUUUGAAUGAUCUGUUGCCGGUUGGGAGAAAAUAGUCCAUGGUAUUGCAGACAUGAUGGUGUGGAUAUAACGGCGCGCAGUAACUGGGAGUCCUAUUACACCUAAGGCCAACUUCCAUUCACCAAACCCAGGUUCAUCUCGUGUAGUGAUUGUGGACUCGUACAAGGAUAUGGAGUCGACGGUUGAUGUAUCAGACUCGACCCUGUCUUUCGUAGCAUGCAUUCCCAUCUGUGUUGCAACUGAUUCGGUAAGCUACGUGUCCGGUGCACGGAAAACUGCCUUCGGUCUCCCAACCUUACUCAUGGCAACCUUCCGGCCGCCCAACGACCUAUAACGCUAGUCACUACUCCCACUGGGGCUAGGAAGUAAGCCCCACAACCCAAAGCGGCGAAGAACAAAUAGAAUUUGCUACAAAAGCCGGCUAACGGGGGUAUUCCUGCGUAUGAGAACAUUGUAAUGGAGAAGGUC